ACUCAAAUGAAUAGACGGGGACCCGCACAAGCGGUGGAUGAUGUGGAUUAAUUCGAUGCAACGCGAAAAACCUUACCUACCCUUGACAUGGCCAGAAGCUCCCCGAGAAGGGAGCGUGCCCGCAAGGGAACUGGCACACAGGUGCUGCAUGGCUGUCGUCAGCUCGUGUCGUGAGAUGUUGGGUUAAGUCCCGCAACGAGCGCAACCCUUGUCAUUAGUUGCUACGAAAGGGCACUCUAAUGAGACUGCCGGUGACAAACCGGAGGAAGGUGGGGAUGACGUCAAGUCCUCAUGGCCCUUAUGGGUAGGGCUUCACACGUCAUACAAUGGUCCAUACAAAGGGCAGCCAACCCGCGAGGGGGAGCUAAUCCCAUAAAGUGGAUCGUAGUCCGGAUUGGAGUCUGCAACUCGACUCCAUGAAGUUGGAAUCGCUAGUAAUCGCGGAUCAGCAUGUCGCGGUGAAUACGUUCCCGGGUCUUGCACACACCGCCCGU
rnacentral:rRNA from 1 species